rnacentral:rRNA from 1 species
AGAGUUUGAUCCUGGCUCAGGACGAACGCUGGCGGCGUGCCUAACACAUGCAAGUCGAGCGAAGUGCUUAUGAUGAAAUCUUCGGAUAGAUUCAUAAACCACUUAGCGGCGGACGGGUGAGUAACGCGUGAGGAACCUGCCUUGUACAAGGGGAUAGCCUCGGGAAACCGGGAUUAAUACCCUAUGAUACUUAACCUCCCCAUGGAGAAUAAGUUAAAGCGAAUUAGCGGUGCAAGAUGGUCUCGCGUCCCAUUAGUUAGUUGGUGAGGUAACGGCUCAACAAGGCCACGAUGGGUAGCCGGCCUGAGAGGGCGAUCGGCCACACUGGAACUGAGACACGGUCCAGACUCCUACGGGAGGCAGCAGUGGGGAAUAUUGCACAAUGGGGAAACUCUGAUGCAGCGACGUCGCGUGAGUGAUGAAGGUCUUCGGAUCGUAAAACUCUGUCCUAAGGGACGAUAAUGACGGUACCUUAGGAGGAAGCCCCGGCUAACUACGUGCCAGCAGCCGCGGUAAUACGUAGGGGGCGAGCGUUGUCCGGAUUUAUUGGGCGUAAAGGGUGCGUAGGCGGCCUUGUAAGUCAGAUGUGAAAGAUCAUGGCUUAACUGUGGUAAGCAUUUGAAACUGCAGGGCUUGAGUACAGGAGAGGAGAGUGGAAUUCCUAGUGUAGCGGUGAAAUGCGUAGAUAUUAGGAGGAAUACCAGUGGCGAAGGCGACUCUCUGGACUGAUACUGACGCUGAGGCACGAAAGCGUGGGGGAGCAAACAGGAUUAGAUACCCUGGUAGUCCACGCUAUAAACGAUGAGUGCUAGGUGUCGGGGGUCAAACCUCGGUGCCGCAGUUAACACAUUAAGCACUCCGCCUGGGGAGUACGGCCGCAAGGCUGAAACUCAAAGGAAUUGACGGGGACCCGCACAAGCAGCGGAGCAUGUGGUUUAAUUCGAAGCAACGCGAAGAACCUUACCAGGGCUUGACAUCCCCCGGACCGAACUAGAGAUAGUUCCUUCCCUUCGGGGACUGGGGAGACAGGUGGUGCAUGGUUGUCGUCAGCUCGUGUCGUGAGAUGUUGGGUUAAGUCCCGCAACGAGCGCAACCCCUACUUUUAGUUGCAAACAGUUCGGCUGUGCACUCUAAAGGGACUGCCGAUGAUAAAUCGGAGGAAGGUGGGGAUGACGUCAAAUCAUCAUGCCCUUUAUGUCCUGGGCUACACACGUGCUACAAUGGUCAAUACAACGGGUAGCGACCUCGUGAGAGGUAGCCAAUCCCACAAAGUUGAUCCCAGUUCGGAUUGUAGGCUGCAAUUCGCCUACAUGAAGCCGGAGUUGCUAGUAAUCGCGGAUCAGAAUGCCGCGGUGAAUGCGUUCCCGGGUCUUGUACACACCGCCCGUCACACCAUGGAAGUUGACAAUACCCGAAGCCAGCGAGCUAACCGUAAGGAGGCAGCUGUCGAAGGUAGGGCCAAUGACUGGGGUGAAGUCGUAACAAGGUAGCCGUA